rnacentral:rRNA from 1 species
AUCGAACGCUGGCGGCAGGCCUAACACAUGCAAGUCGAACGAGUGGCGGACGGGUGAGUAAUGUCUGGGAAACUGCCCGAUGGAGGGGGAAAACUACUGGAAACGGUAGCCAAAACCGCAUACUAUAGGUUGUGCCCAGAUGGGAUUAGCUAGUGGGGGGGGUAUCGGCUCACCUAGGCGACGAUGCCUAGCUGGUCUGAGGGAAUGAACGGCCACACUGGAACGGGGAAACGGUCCAGACUCCUACGGGAGGAAGCAGUGGGGAAUAUUGCGCAAUGGGGGCAAGCCUGAUGCAGCCAUGCGGCGUGUGUGAAGAAGGCCUUCGGGUUGUAAAGUACUUUCAGCGGGGAGGCGGUACUCGCAUAGGAAGCACCGGCUAACUCCGUGCCAGCAGCCGCGGUAAUAC